CGGGAUUAGCACCUUUGAUGUUCAGGGUACCCUUUCACUUCAAAUUAUCAACCAGGAAGAUGGGCUUAUCCAGUUUCAGAUUGAAAACAGUGACAUACCAGGCCUCACCUUCCGGACUCAUCCUAACAUCAACAAAGAUUUGUUUAACAAUGAACAUAUUGUAGGGUUGAAAGAUCCGAACAGACCAUUCCCUACUGGACAAAACGAUGUUGGUCUAAUGAAGUGG
rnacentral:misc_RNA from 1 species